AACGAACGCUGGCGGCAUGCCUAACACAUGCAAGUCGAACGAGACCUUCGGGUCUAGUGGCGCACGGGUGCGUAACGCGUGGGAACCUGCCCUUAGGUUCGGAAUAACUCCCCGAAAGGGGUGCUAAUACCGGAUAAUGUCUUCGGACCAAAGAUUUAUCGCCUUUGGAUGGGCCCGCGUUGGAUUAGCUAGUUGGUAGGGUAAAAGCCUACCAAGGCGACGAUCCAUAGCUGGUCUGAGAGGAUGGUCAGCCACACUGGGACUGAGACGCGGCCCAGACUCCUACGGGAAGCGGCAGUGGGGAAUAUUGGAAAAUGGGCGAAAGCCUGAUCCAGCAAUGCCGGGUGAGUGAUGAAGGCCUUAGGGUAGUAAAGCUCUUUUACCCGGGAUGAUAAUGACAGUACCGGGAGAAUAAGCUCCGGCUAACUCCGUG
rnacentral:rRNA from 1 species